rnacentral:rRNA from 1 species
CAUUGCGGGGGAUUACUAUUGGAAACGAUAGCUAAUACCGCAUAAUAGAGACUAACGCAUGUUAGUAAUUUAAAAGGGGCAAUUGCUCCACUAUGAGAUGGACCUGCGUUGUAUUAGCUAGUUGGUGAGGUAAAGGCUCACCAAGGCGACCAUACAUAGCCGACCUGAGAGGGUGAUCGGCCACACUGGGACUGAGACACCGCCCAGACUCCUACGGGAGGCAACUUUAGGGAAUCUUCGGCAAUGGGGGCAACCCUGACCGAGCAACGCCGCGUGAGUGAAGAAGGUUUUCGGAUCGUAAAGCUCUGUUGUUAGAGAAGAAUGAUGGUGGGAGUGGAAAAUCCACCAAGUGACGGUAACUAACCAGAAAGGGACGGCUAACUACGUGCCAGCAGCCGCGGUAAUACGUAGGUCCCCAGCGUUGUCCGGAUUUAUUGGGCGUAAAGCGAGCGCAGGCGGUUUUUUAAGUCUGAAGUUGCAGGCCCUGGGUCACCCAAUGUUCGCUUUGGAAACUGGAGAACUUGAGUGCAGAAGGGGAGAGUGGAAUUCCAUGUGUAGCGGUGAAAUGCGUAGAUAUAUGGAGGAACACCGGUGGCGAAAGCGGCUCUCUGGUCUGUAACUGACGCUGAGGCUCGAAAGCGUGGGGAGCAAACAGGAUUAGAUACCCUGGUAGUUCACGCCGUAAACGAUGAGUGCUAGGUGUUAGGCCCUUUCCGGGGCUUAGUGCCGGAGCUAACGCAUUAAGCACUCCGCCUGGGGAGUACGACCGCAAGGUUGAAACUCAAAGGAAUUGACGGGGGCCCGCACAAGCGGUGGAGCAUGUGGUUUAAUUUGAAGCAACGCGAAGAACCUUACCAGGUUUUGACAUCCCGAUGCCCGCUUUAGAGAUAGAGUUUUACUUUGGUACAUCGGUGACAGGUGGUGCAUGGUUGUUGUCAGCUUGUGUUGUGAGAUGUUGGGUUAAGUCCCGCAACGAGCGCAACCCCUAUUGUUAGUUGCCAUCAUUAAGUUGGGCACUUUAGCGAGACUGCCGGUAAUAAACCGGAGGAAGGUGGGGAUGACGUCAAAUCAUCAUGCCCCUUAUGACCUGGGGUACACACGUGGUACAAUGGUUGGUACAACGAGUCGCAAGCCGGUGACGGCAAGCUAAUUUUUUAAAGCCAAUUUCAGUUUGGAUUGUAGGGUGCAACUUGCCUACAUGAAGUUGGAAUCGGUAGUAAUCGCGGAUCAGCCCGCCGGGGGGAAAAAGUUCCCCGUCGUUUUACACCCCGGCCCUCA